rnacentral:rRNA from 1 species
UACGUAGGGGGCAAGCGUUAUCCGGAAUUACUGGGUGUAAAGGGAGCGUAGACGGCAAUGCAAGUCCGGAGUGGAAUGCGGCAGCUCAACUGCCGAACUGCUCUGGAAACUGUAUGGCUUGAGUGCAGGAGGGGUAAGCGGAAUUCCUGGUGUAGCGGUGAAAUGCGUAGAUAUCAGGAGGAACACCGGUGGCGAAGGCGGCUUACUGGACUGUAACUGACGUUGAGGCUCGAAAGCGUGGGGAGCAA